rnacentral:rRNA from 1 species
UACAGAGGUCCCAAGCGUUUGUUCGGAUUCACUGGGCGUAAAGGGUGCGUAGGUGGUGAGGUAAGUCGGAUGUGAAAUCUCCGGGCUUAACUCGGAACGGUCAAGUGAUACUGUCGGACUAGAGUACAGAAGGGGCAACUGGAAUUCUCGGUGUAGCGGUGAAAUGCGUAGAUAUCGAGAGGAACACCUGCGGCGAAGGCGGGUUGCUGGGCUGAUACUGACGCUGAGGCGCGAAAGCCAGGGGAGCGAACGGG